rnacentral:rRNA from 1 species
GACGAACCGAGCGAACGUUAUUCGGAAUCACUGGGCUUAAAGGGCGCGUAGGCGGCGACCCAAGUCAGAUGUGAAAGUCCUGGGCUUAACCUGGGGACUGCAUUUGAUACUGGGUUGCUUGAAUUCGGGAGAGGAUAGCGGAAUUCCCAGUGUAGAGGUGAAAUUCGUAGAUAUUGGGAAGAACACCGGUGGCGAAGGCGGCUAUCUGGACCGACAUUGACGCUGAGGCGCGAAAGCUAGGGGAGCAAACGGG